UGGGGAAUUUUGGACAAUGGGCGCAAGCCUGAUCCAGCCAUGCCGCGUGCGGGAAGAAGGCCUUCGGGUUGUAAACCGCUUUUGUCAGGGAAGAAAUCUUCUGAGUUAAUACCUCGGGAGGAUGACGGUACCUGAAGAAUAAGCACCGGCUAACUACGUGCCAGCAGCCGCGGUAAUACGUAGGAUGCAAGCGUUAAUCGGAAUUACUGGGCGUAAAGCGUGCGCAGGCGGUUUUGUAAGACAGAGGUGAAAUCCCCGGGCUCAACCUGGGAACUGCCUUUGUGACUGCAAGGCUUGAGUGCGGCAGAGGGGGGAUGGAAUUCCGCGUGUAGCAGUGAAAUGCGUAGAUAUGCGGAGGAACACCGAUGGCGAAGGCAAUCCCCUGGGCCUGCACUGACGCUCAUGCACGAAAGCGUGGGGAGCAAAACAGGAUUAGAUAGCCCCUGGUAGUCCACGCCCUAAAACGAUGUCAACUGGUUGUUGGGAAGGUUCCUUCUCAGUAACGUAGCUAACGCGUGAAGUUGACCGCCUGGGGAGUACGGCCGCAAGGUUG
rnacentral:rRNA from 1 species